rnacentral:rRNA from 1 species
CGGCGUGCCUAAUACAUGCAAGUCGAACGGCUUUUCUAUGGAAGCUUGCUUCCACUGAGAAGAUAGUGGCGAACGGGUGAGUAACACGUGGGUAACCUGCCCAUAAGAGGGGGAUAACAUCCGGAAACGGGUGCUAAUACCGCAUAGUUUUCUUGAUUGCAUGAUUGAGAAAGGAAGACGGCCUUUGUGCUGUCGCUUAUGGAUGGACCCGCGGCGUAUUAGUUAGUUGGUGAGGUAACGGCUCACCAAGACGAUGAUACGUAGCCGACCUGAGAGGGUGAUCGGCCACAUUGGGACUGAGACACGGCCCAAACUCCUACGGGAGGCAGCAGUAGGGAAUCUUCCGCAAUGGACGAAAGUCUGACGGAGCAACGCCGCGUGAGUGAAGAAGGUUUUUCCGGAUCGUAAAACUCUGUUGUCAGAGAAGAACAAGUUGGAGAGUAACUGCUCCAGCCUUGACGGUAUCUGACCAGAAAGCCACGGCUAACUACGUGCCAGCAGCCGC